rnacentral:rRNA from 1 species
GGAAUCUUCCACAAUGGGCGCAAGCCUGAUGGAGCAACGCCGCGUGAGUGAAGAAGAUUUUCGGAUCGUAAAGCUCUGUUGUAAGAGAAGAACGUGUGUGAGAGUGGAAAGUUCACACAGUGACGGUAACUUACCAGAAAGGGACGGCUAACUACGUGCCAG